rnacentral:rRNA from 1 species
GACGAACGCUGGCGGCGUGCUUAACACAUGCAAGUCGAACGAAGUGGCGAACGGGUGAGUAACGCGUAAUCAACCUGCCCUUCAUAGGGGGACAACCGUUGGAAACGACUGCUAAUACCGCAUACUGAAGUAGGGGAUUUCGUUGGAUUAGCUAGUUGGAGGGGUAACGGCCCACCAAGGCUAUGAUCAGUAGCCGGUCUGAAAGGAUGAACGGCCACAGUGGGAAUGCGACACGGCCCAGACUCCUACGGGAGGGAGCAGUGGGGAAUCUUCCGCAAUGGAGGAAAGUCUGACGGAGAAACGCCGCGUGAGUGAUGACGGCCUUCGGGUUGUAAAGCUCUGUUAAUCGGGACGCGGUACCGGAAGAGAAAGCCACGGCUAACUACGUGCCAGCAGCCGCGGUAAUAC